CACCUCCAGCCUCUGCACCAGGGCGCUCGGGUCUAUCUGGGUCCCGGCAAAGACGUUGGUGUGGAUGAACCCCCAGUCCUGCAAGGCCCAGUGGAAAGGAGAGAAAGGUGACAUCAGGCUGGCUCCGUGGCUUCAGGAGAUGGGAGGCCAGUGGUCCAGCACAGGGAGGACAUACAAGACACGGAUCACCAGAGACCACAGCAUCAAGCCCAAGAGGGGACCUUUCUGACCACCCCAAAUAUGCUGCUCCUGAUGGAAAGAUGAUUUCGGGCUAAAGGGACCUGAACUAACAGCAGGUGCCAGAAGAACUAACAGCAGGUGCUGUGACUGCCCCAUUCUGAAAGCAGGAGAGGAGACCCCAGGGGAGUCGUCUCCCUCUGCCUCCUCUGCGCGCACGGGUCAGAAGAGCCCGGAAACCCUGCACAGACAGAUGCUGUAAAGACAGCCCGUCUCUCCGAGGAUUUAUGCUUAACAUAAAAGACACACCGGCGCGAUGUUGUGUGUCUCUCAAAUAUUACAAUAUUACUAGAUUAAAAAUCCGAACUUCUGCUUUCUUCUCUAUCCACAUUAAACUUCAAUUUUUCAUACUUUCAA